rnacentral:lncRNA from 1 species
ACGAAGUGAAGUGGUUGGUGUAUUGCGUAGUUGUAGAGAUUGGAUUUCACUCAAAACUCACCAAAUGACUCCUCCCACCAUAUUACGAUGUUCUCCAAGUUUUGGACUCAACCCGACAUCAAUGCCCAUGAAAUUGGACAAUUCAGGUUCGUACGAAGUUUGUUAUGAAAUGGAGUGGUAGGUGUAUUGUAUAGUUCUAGAGAUUGGAUUUCCCUCAAAACCCACCAAAUGACUCCUCCUCCCACUAUAUUAUGACGUUCCCCAAGUGUUGGACUAAAUCCGAUAUCGAUUGGUCCAUGAAUUUGGAUUCAGGUUCGCACGAAGUUCGUUAUGAAAUGGAAUGGUUGGUGUAUUGUAUAGUUCUAGAGAUUGGAUUUCACUCAAAACCCACCAAAUGACUCCUCCCACAAUAUUAUGAUGUUCCCCACGUUUUGGACUCAAUAUGAUAUGGAUUGGUCCACAAAAUCAGAAAAUUCAGGUUCGUAUCAAGUUCGUUCUGAAAUGCAGUGGUUGGUGUAUUGCUUAGUUUUAGCCAUUGGAUUUAGCUCAAAACUCACCAAAUGACUCCUCCCACCAUAUUAUGAUGUUUCCCAAGUUUUGGGCACAAUCCGAUAUCGAUUGGUCCAAGAAAUUGGACUAUUCAUGUUCCUAUGAAGUUCGUUCUCUAAUGGAGGGGUUGGUGUAUUUCCUAGUUUUUGCUAUUGGAUUUCACCCAAAACCCACCAAAUGACUCCUCCCACGAUAUUAUGAUGUUCCCCACAUCAAUUGGUCCACGAAAUCGGACAAUUCAGGUUCCUACGAAGUAUGUUCUGAAAUGGAGUGGUUGGUGUACUGAAUUGUUUUAGAAAUUGGAAUUCACUCAAAACUCACCAAUUGACUCCACCCAUCAUAUUAUGAUGGUCCCCAAGUUUUGGCCUCAAUCUGAUAUCGAUUGGUCUAUGAAAUUGGAAAAUUCAGGUUCGUACGAAGUUCGUUAUGAAAUGAAGUGGUUGGUGUAUUGCGUAGUUGUGGAGAUUGGAUUUCACUCAAAACUCACCAAAUGACUCCUCCCACCAUAUUACGAUGUCCCCCCAGUUUUGGACUCAAUCCGACAUCGAUCGGUCCACAAAAUUGGACAAUUCCGGUUCCUCCGAAGUUUGUUGUGAAAUGGAGUGGUUGGUGUAUUGCAUAGUUUUAGCCGUUGGAUUUCACUCAAAACUCAACAAAUGACUCCUCCCACUAUAUUAUGAUGUUCCCCAAGUUUUGGGCUCAAUCCAAUAUCGAUUGGUGCAACAAAUUAGACUGUUCAUGUUCGAAUGAAGUUCGUUCUCUAAUGGAGUGGUUGUUGUAUUUCAUAACUUUUGCUAUUGGAUUUCUCCCAAAAAUCACCAAAUGACUCCUCCCACUAUAUUGUGAUGUUCCCCAAGUUUUGGACUCAGUCCGACAUCGAUUGGUCCAUGAAAUUGGACAAUUCCGGUUGGUCCGAAGUUUGUUCUGAAAUGGACUGGUUGGCGUAUUGUAUAGUACUAGAGAUUGGAUAUCACUGAAAACCCACCGAAUGACUCCCCCCACAAUAUUAUGAUGUUCCCCAACUUUUGGACUCAAUCCGAUAACGAUUGGUCCAUGAAAUCGGACAAUUCAGGUUCGUACGAAGUUCGUUCUGAAAUGGAGUGGUUGGUAUGCUGCACAUUUUUAGCCAUUGGAUUUCACUCAAAACUCAACAAAUGACUCCUCCCACCAUAUUAUGAUGUUCUCCAUGUUUUGGACUCAACCCGACAUCAAUGCCCAUGAAAUUGGACAAUUCUGGUUCGUACGAAGUUUUUUAUGAAAUGGAGUGGUAGGUGUAUUGUAUAGUUCUAGAGAUUGGAUUUCCCUC